UACAGAGGUCUCGAGCGUUGUUCGGAUUCAUUGGGCGUAAAGGGCGCGUAGGCGGCGGGGUAAGUCUGGUGUGAAAUCUCGGAGCUCAACUCCGAAAUUGCACUGGAUACUGCUCUGCUAGAGGGCUGGAGAGGAGAUCGGAAUUCACGGUGUAGCAGUGAAAUGCGUAGAUAUCGUGAGGAACACCAGCGGCGAAGGCGGCGCUCUGGGCCGGUACUGACGCUGAGGAGCGAAAGCGUGGGUAGCAAACAGG
rnacentral:rRNA from 1 species